UGGGGCGUCGCCAAGCGGUAAGGCAACGGGUUUUGAUCCCGCUAUUCGGAGGUUCGAAUCCUUCCGUCCCAG
rnacentral:tRNA from 1 species